GUUCAAUCCCCAGUGCUAUAAGGAGAAGACGGAGAAAAAGCAGUAACUAAACUUAACAAAGGAAGAAAAUGUUCAUCAGCACUCUGAAAAAACUAUCUUUCCAGGGCAUGGAAGAUCUGUUUUAACUCACAGUUUGUUCUCAUGGAACCUCAGAUUGUUGGCUCAAAGUCACCUCAAUUCACUGUAUUACUGAAGCAGGCGCUAGAAUUGAGGGUACACAGUCUUCUUUUCCAAUACUAACACGGAAGCUGUAACUCUCCCAGUAUUCCCGCCUCUGCUACAGUCUGCAGUUUCUGGGUGAACUGCUGCUGUCCACACGGAGUGGAGGAAGGCAAGGCAAGGCCUAGGUGCUCAGUCAGUCAGCAGAGCAAACUUGGUGUACUCUGAAGACCCGUGAGGCUCGACAUGACAGCCACCUCAUGCUUGGAUUCCCGCUGCUUUCAGAGACAGGGUCUUAUGAGGCCAGGCUGACCUUAAACUCACUGUGUAACUGAGGAUGACACUGAAUUCUUGAUCCUCCUGUUUUCCUCCCACAAGAGCUGAGAUUAGAGGCCUGUGCCAUCACACCCAGCAAAAAUGUAUUCCUGGAACUCAAAGGUGAAUAAAAACAAGCACACUGGUCUUGUUAUUCUA